UAUUUAGUUAAAAAGUAGGUGCUAAUACAAUGUAUUCAUUUAUCUAUUAUAACUGAUAAGAUUGAAAGCAAUUAAAUAAACAAGGAAGAGUUCUUGAUAAAAUUGCAUAUUUAAAUAGUAGACCAAAGUCCCUAGGAACUAUUUAACUAUAAUGCUAUUAACAAUGCAUUACAAUAUUUUUAUUUAAAAGUUUGUGCGUAAAUAAGUGUUAUUUACAAAUCAUUACAAAAAAAUAUUCAUAAUUAUAUAUUUUAUUUAAUAAAAAUUAUUAAUAUACGUAUUCAUAUUGUCUUUUAAGAAUACAAAUAAAAUUAUUAUUUAAAAUUACAACAAAAAUGUAUGAGCAACUUUUAAGUCGUAUAUAUGUUACUUUUUGAAGGCGUAUUUUAUUAAGUACUUACUUUAUUUGAAACCAUUUGUUUAUAAAGUUCUAAAUACGAUUUAUAAAUAUCACAGCACGAAAGACAAUUUUCUUCGUAAUCAAAAUUACAUAAACCGUCAAUUUCGUCUUGAUCAAGUCUAAAACAGAACGCUGCUGAAUGUCAAUUGGCGGGGGCAGUCACACACGUGAUACAAGCGUAUAAUUAUCGAACUACAUAACAUUCGCAACGUAAAAACUAUUUAGUGUUUCUCAUUUUUAAAUUUUUAUUAUUUUUCAUAUAUUGAUUAAAUGUAAACUCGAUUAUUUUGAUUAUAAAUAAAUUUCAAUCACUUAAUA